rfam:Fukomys damarensis contig149362, whole genome shotgun sequence.
AAAGCCCUGAAUCAAAACUGGCAAUUUCCUGAAGCUGUCGGUUUCAAGGAGGUGCCUAAAGAGAUGUCUUCCUAUGGUCUGUUGACCAUUUCAGAACUUGGGAAAUUGAAUGGCCCUUUCAUUAGAAACAGCUUACU